rnacentral:rRNA from 1 species
UACGUAGGGGGCUAGCGUUGUCCGGAAUCAUUGGGCGUAAAGAGCUCGUAGGCGGUGUGUCGCGUCGGCCGUGAAAACCUGCAGCUUAACUGUGGGCGUGCGGUCGAUACGGGCAUCACUGGAGUUCGGCAGGGGAGACUGGAAUUCCUGGUGGAGCGGUGAAAUGCGUUGAUAUCCACAGGAACUCCGGUGGCGAAGGCGGCACGCUGGACCCCAUCUGACGCUGAGGCGCGAAAGCCAGGGGAGCGAACGGGG